ACGUACAUUCUUUGAAUGUAAACAAAUUUUCUUAUACAUAUUAAUGACAGAAUAAAAAUGGAAGACAACAAAAAUACAAAUCGUCAAAUCUGUGGAAAUAUAUUUAUAAACAUAAAAACAAUUAAAAACGAUAAUAAAGUUUUUACAUUUCAUUGCGCUUUUUGCAGUACGGACUGCGACCAAUUACAAAUUUUUUCUGAACACCUUGAAGAACACUUGCAUUAUUUUGAAGAACAUGAGAUGUGCCCAAAUCUCCUAUCUGAACCAGAAGAAAUUAAACAAAGAAUUCAUAUGCAUGUAUUUGAUGAUGCCUAUAAUAGAAGUAUAAAUACUGCCACAAGAUCGGAAGUUUAUGAAGAUCCAUUAGAGACAGGAAAGACAGAAAACAUGUGUGCUACGGAGGGAUUUAUUCCAGUAAAAGUUAAAAAUGAAUGUGAAGAUAGUGACAAUGAAGAAGUAGAUGAAGAAGAUUGUAAUACAAAUUAUAUUCAUGAAGCAGACGUAAUUAUUGAAGAUUCUCCUGAAUAUGCAAACAAAUUAUAUUCUUACAUAUUUAAGGACCUUAGUUCCGAUGAAUUAUCUGUAGAUUCAAAUGAUGAAGCAUUUGAUGAAGCUCAUAAUGAAAGUAUUAAUACUGAUACAAGCUCGGAAUUUUUUAAAGAUCACUUGAAGACGGAGAAGGACAUGUGUGCUAAAGAAGAAUUUGUUCCAAUAGCUGUUAAAAAUGAAAGUGAAUUAAGUGCCAAUGAAGAGGAAAGUUGUGAUACUAAUAAAAUGGCACAGGAAAACGGUACAAAUUAUUUGCAAGGGGAAGACCUAAUUAUUGAAGAAUCCGUUGAAAAUUCAGACAUACUAUAUGCUUACAUAUUUAAGGACCUUAGUUGCGAUGAACUUUCUGAUGAUUCAAACCAUGCCUAUUUUAAUUCGAAACAUGAUGUAAAUACAUCCUCUAACAAUUUGAAGAAACGAGGACGGACGAUUUUUAUAAGAAUUUUGCCAAGUUUAAUACAGUUAUAUAAAAAAUAUGAACUUUUAUGGCAAGUAGAUAAUAUCGCAUUCGGUAUAAAAGAAAAAAUAAAUGAUGUCUAUACCAAAAUAUUUGAAGAGUUAAAAUUAGAGCACGAUGUUAACAUCACAUUAGAAGAUAUAAGCUUUCAUAUAAACUAUAUAAACGAUUUAUUCUCCAAAGAUAAAAAUAACGAAUUAAAGUGUAAAAUGGAAGAAAAGUUGUUUGUACCUGAAUGUGAAUACUAUGCGGAAUUGUCAUUUCUUAGCAAUAGUCAAGGUCCAUUUUUAUGUCUGAUCUGUAAUAAAAUGCUUUUAAAAUAUGAUUCCUAUUGCCAACAUAUGGCUCAACACAGCGGAACACAGCCAUUUAGAUGUCCAUCUUGUGAAGUAACAUUUAAAUGUUAUCACACAUUCCUUACACAUAAGAAACGUCAUUUGGGUAUAUACAGUUUCCACUGCGAUAUAUGCGGAAAGGGCUAUUCAUUGAAAAAUGACUUAGAAUGGCAUAAAACUUCUCAUACCGGUGAUAAACCUUAUUUGUGUCAAAUAUGUGGUAGAGGAUUUAGGGCACGUCAUGGCUAUGUCAAUCAUAUAAGGCGUCAUGAGCAACGCUUUAGGUACGAGUGUCACAUAUGUAAAAGAGGAUUCAAUCUACUACAUGCUCUUAACAGUCAUGUUAAAUCUCAUCUCAAUAUACGUGAUAUAAUAUGCGAAAUCUGUGGCAAAGGCUUUGUACAUAAACAAUCCUUACGGAAACACGAACUUAUACAUGGCGAUGUAAAAAAAUAUAAGUGCAAUGAAUGUGGAAAAGCGUUUUUCCAGGCGUGCGGCUUACGAUCCCAUCGAAAAAAUCAUCAUACUUAAUCAAGCACGGUUUCCCGUUAUCAUAUAGGACUUAAAUUUUACACUAAAUAUACGUAGUAUUUUUAAUGCCGGUUCACUGUUCAAUGAACAUACUUCAUACAAAUGUAAACAAAGUAAUUAGUUUUUUCAUUUACGAAAUUAUAAAAAAGGAGCCAACAAAAAUCCAGAACAUUACAUCUGUGGAAAUAUAUUUAUAAACAUAAAAACUAUAAGAAUAAAGUUUUUACAUUUCAUUGUGCUUUUUGUAAUACGGACUGUGAUCAAUUACAACAGUUCUCUAAACAUCUUGAAGAACAUUUGAAUUGUUUUGGAGAUGAACCAGAACAUGAACGGUGUUCAAAUACACCAUUUCAACCAGAAGAAAUUAAAGAUGAAGAAGUAGAUAUGGAAGAAAUGGAGGAAUUUUUGCCAAUAGAUGGAAAUGAAAGUGCUAAUAAAGAAGAAAAUUUAAAUUCGCCAGUUUCCAGAAAAGCAGGAAACAAAUGCUGUCUACCGCAUUGUCGUAGAUCCAAAAGAAGUUUUCCUAACAUAAAACUUUUUCGUUUUCCAAGUGGUGAUACACCUUUGUUUAAACAGUGGGCAGAAAUAUGCAACAUUGAUAAGCAGUUUAUGGAAAAGACGCCUCGAUUAUAUUUAUGCGAAAGACACUUUUCGUUAGAAUGUAUUGGGAAAAGGCAUUUGAAGCGAGGUGCCGUUCCAAGUAUAGACCUAGCUGAGAGAGACGAUAUCAUGGAAGAGAAGAUAGCGAAGACUGUUUGGGAAAUGAUUUAUCUCUUCCUAGCUCUCCACCACAAAAGCAUAGGAAAUCAUAAUCGCUAUUAUAGUAUAGACCUAGCUGAGAGAGACGAUAUCAUGGAAGAGAAGAUAGCGAAGACUGUUUGGGAAAUGAUUUAUCUCUUCCUAGCUCUCCACCACAAAAGCAUAGGAAAUCAAAAUCGCUAUUACCGUGAUGUACAGGUUGCAAUAAUAUAAAAAUUUAAUUACCUGUGAAUUACAUCUUCAUGGUUUUCGUAAUGAAAAUCAUUGGAAUGCAGAAUGUCAGAGAGGAUCCACAUAAUUAUAGCAUCACACUACAUUGCAUAAUUGCUGCCAAAAAGGAGAAAUAAAUAUUUAAUUUGUAAAAAUAUUUAUUGAUUGAUGCAAAUCGCUUUCAAUGAAUAAAAUAAGUAACCUUAUUUCUGGAUAUUGCGUAUUGGAUCAUUGUCUAUAUGCAGACGAUUUGUUGAUAUCUUUUGUAAGAAACUCAAUUUCCCACUUAAAAAAUUAGAAAAUAACCUAUCAGCUUCUUUCACCACUUUAAAAUUUUCAUAGUCAACGUAUUUAUAUGUAUUUAUGUAUAUAAUUCUGAGAAGAAGUCCAUAAAUCUAAGACAAAGAUCGAAUACUAAAUUAUGUAAAUAAAAUCGAAAUAAAUAUUUUUUUGCACUCUU